GAGUUUGAUCUUGGCUCAGAUUGAACGCUGGCGGCAUGCCUAACACAUGCAAGUCGAGCGGAUGACGGGAGCUUGCUCCUUGAUUCAGCGGCGGACGGGUGAGUAAUGCCUACGGAAUCUGCCUGGUAGUGGGGGACAACGUUUCGAAAGGAACGCUAAUACCGCAUACGUCCUACGGGAGAAAGCAGGGGACCUUCGGGCCUUGCGCGUAUCAGAUGAGCCUAGGUCGGAUUAGCUAGUUGGUGGGGUAAUGGCUCACCAAGGCGACGAUCCGUAACUGGUCUGAGAGGAUGAUCAGUCACACUGGAGCUGAGACACGGUCCAGACUCCUACGGGAGGGCAGCAGU
rnacentral:rRNA from 1 species